rnacentral:rRNA from 1 species
UACGUAGGGGGCUAGCGUUGUCCGGAAUCAUUGGGCGUAAAGAGCGUGUAGGCGGCCCGGUAAGUCCGCUGUGAAAGUCGGGGGGCUCAACCCUCGAAUGCCGGUGGAUACUGUCGGGCUAGAGUGCGGAAGAGGCGAGUGGAAUUCCUGGUGUAGCGGUGAAAUGCGCAGAUAUCAGGAGGAACACCGGUGGCGAAGGCGGGUCUCUGGGCCGAUACUGACGCUGGAGGAGCGAAAGCGUGGGGGAGCGAACAGG